AACGAACGCUGGCGGCAUGCCUAACACAUGCAAGUCGAACGACACCUUCGGGUCUAGUUGCUCAUGGGUGCGUAACGCGUCGGAACCUUCCCUUAUGCUCGGAAUAACUCUCCGUAAUGGGUGCUAAUACCGGAUAAUUUCUUCUGAUCCCAGAUUUAACUUCCUUGUAUGGGCCCGCGUUGUUUUAGCCAGUUGCUAUGGUAAAAGCCUAUCAAGGCUUCGAUAGUUAGCUGGUUAGAGAGGAAGAGCAGCCACACUGGGACUAAGACACGGCCCAGAAUACUACACAAUGCAGCAAAGCCUAAUACUGCAAAAUGGGCUAAAUCAUGAACCAGCAAUGCCUCGUAAGUCAUGAAGGCCUUAGAGAAGUAAAGCUCUUUUACCCGCGACUAUAAUGACAGUACCCAAAGAAUAAGCACCGGCUAACUCCGUG
rnacentral:rRNA from 1 species